rnacentral:rRNA from 1 species
GACGAACGCUGGCGGCGUGCUUAACACAUGCAAGUCGAACGGAAAGGCCCUGCUUGCAGGGUACUCGAGUGGCGAACGGGUGAGUAACACGUGGGUGAUCUGCCCUGCACUUCGGGAUAAGCCUGGGAAACUGGGUCUAAUACCGGAUAGGAGCCAUUUUUAGUGUGAUGGUUGGAAAGUUUUUUCGGUGUAGGAUGAGCUCGCGGCCUAUCAGCUUGUUGGUGGGGUAAUGGCCUACCAAGGCGGCGACGGGUAGCCGGCCUGAGAGGGUGGACGGCCACAUUGGGACUGAGAUACGGCCCAGACUCCUACGGGAGGCAGCAGUGGGGAAUAUUGCACAAUGGGCGCAAGCCUGAUGCAGCGACGCCGCGUGGGGGAUGACGGCCUUCGGGUUGUAAACUCCUUUCGCUAGGGAAGAAGCUUUUUGUGACGGUACCUAGAAAAGAAGCACCGGCUAACUACGUG